rnacentral:rRNA from 1 species
CCUACGGGAGGCAGCAGUGAGGAAUAUUGGUCAAUGGGAGAGAUCCUGAACCAGCCAAGCCGCGUGAGGGAAGACGGCCCUAUGGGUUGUAAACCUCUUUUGUCGGAGAACAAAACCCGGGACGUGUCCCGGACUGCGUGUAUCCGAAGAAAAAGCAUCGGCUAACUCCGUGCCAGCAGCCGCGGUAAUACGGAGGAUGCGAGCGUUAUCCGGAUUUAUUGGGUUUAAAGGGUGCGUAGGCGGUCCGUUAAGUCAGUGGUAAAAGUGCGGGGCUCAACCCCGUCGAGCCGUUGAAACUGGCAGACUUGAGUUGGCGAGAAGUACGCGGAAUGCGCGGUGUAGCGGUGAAAUGCAUAGAUAUCGCGCAGAACUCCGAUUGCGAAGGCAGCGUACCGGCGCCAGACUGACGCUGAGGCACGAAAGCGUGGGUAUCGAACAGGAUUAGAUACCCCUGUAGUC